rnacentral:lncRNA from 1 species
GAAAUUAAUUCCUCCAGAGCUGAGGGAGCUGGGCGGGCGGGGAGCACGCGGGCUGGUGGAGCGAACUGCCUUGGCAGCAGCUGUUCCAUUUGGGAAACUAAUGAGACUCGAGGAAAAAUCUGCCAAGGGAUGCCAAAUACUUGUUUGCCUGUGGACCUGAUACAGCCUUGGCCAAACUGGACAGUAAUGCAAAAACGUCCAUCAUUUUUUGUUCAAUUUUGCGGCUCUGUCUUGCGUUUCAGAAGGAGAAGAAUUAAAACCUUAUCUGUCCCCAGGCUAGCCCUCCAUUCCACAGAGAUUCAGGGAAGACAGGCACCUGACAAUGUUGGGUAUUCCUAAGGCUCGUUUGUCUAGCCUCCCCACUGGCUCACUCACCACCAGGCCCUGACCUGCCCUCUUCCAAAUUGUUUGGCUCUGUGCUGCCUUGUGGAGCCAAUGCAUAUCUCUUGGCAGCUGGUGUAACAUUGAAAAGCCACAAACCCAGGGUGACCUUGACACUCCUUCCAUUGAGUAGCGGGUUCUACGCUCCCUUCCCUUGAACCUGAGCAGAACUUUAUGACUGCCUUGACCAAUAGAGUAAGGCAGAAGAAACCUUAUGUGACUUCCAAGGCCAGAUCAUUUAAAUGCCCUGCAUUUCCACCGUCCUCGCUUGGGACACUUGCUCUUGGCACCCAGACCCCAUGCUAUGAAAAUUCUAAGGUUCUCAUGGAAGGACUCGUGGAGAGGAACCAAGAUCCCCGGCUUUGCCUUAGCUGAGCUCCUACCCACAGCCAGCACCCACUUGCCAGCCAUAUGAAUGAACUGUCUUGAAAACGGAGCCUCCUAACAGCCUCCAGCCCCCAGCCCCCAAGCCAUCCCAGCUGAGGGGCCUUCUACAUCAAACUCUGCCCAACUCGCAGAACACUGAGCAAGACAGAUGAAUGCUGUUGUUUUGGGCCUCUCAGUUUCUCAGUGGUUUGCUAUGCAGCAAUAAAUAACUGAUACAGUGCUUCUCAGCCCUAAUUCUCUCCUUUCUCCUCAUUUCUCUCUCUUCCCAGGGAGAUUUUAUCAUUUCCGUAAUAACAAAACUGCCUCUUCAUCUACCCUUUCCAAUUUUUUUAUUAUGGCAUAAACCUUACGCCCCAAACUCUUCAGCACUUAAGCUUUUGAAACCAUAAAAAGCCUCGCUCUCAUAAGGCAAAAGCCUUGGCUUUCAAACUUAUUGCCAGGUGCCGGGAGUUUCCAAAGCCAGUUUUGAAACUCAAAAGCUGAGCGUUGUCUUUUUUUCCUUCUUCUUCUGUGCAUUCCUGCUGUCUCAGCCUUCUCCUGAGGGCGGUCAGGAUGGAAGGCAGCGGCCCCCGGUGGGAAGGACAGCGAUGUGAGAAAUUUCCAGGUGUGGCAGAAUGCACUGAAUAGGAUUUUAUAACAUCCUCACGUUAUUUUUUACCAAAGCAGAUGCAAAUCUCCUGUGUGCAAGACUAUCCCGUUCCUUUAAUGCCCUUAAAUCAAC